rnacentral:rRNA from 1 species
UCUUCCCUCUGGCGGCGUGCCUAAUACAUGCAAGUCGAGCGAACGGACGAGAAGCUUGCUUCUCUGAUGUUAGCGGCGGACGGGUGAGUAACACGUGGAUAACCUACCUAUAAGACUGGGAUAACUUCGGGAAACCGUAGCUAAUACCGGAUAAUAUUUUGAACCGCAUGGUUCAAAAGUGAAAGACGGUCUUGCUGUCACUUAUAGAUGGAUCCGCGCUGCAUUAGCUAGUUGGUAAGGUAACGGCUUACCAAGGCAACGAUGCAUAGCCGACCUGAGAGGGUGAUCGGCCACACUGGAACUGAGACACGGUCCAGACGCCUACGGGAGGCAGCAGUAGGGAAUCUUCCGCAAUGGGCGAAAGCCUGACGGAGCAACGCCGCGUGAGUGAUGAAGGUCUUCGGAUCGUAAAACUCUGUUAUUAGGGAAGAACAUAUGUGUAAGUAACUGUGCACAUCUUGACGGUACCUAAUCAGAAAGCCACGGCUAACUACGUG